UACGUAGGGGGCAAGCGUUGUCCGGAAUCAUUGGGCGUAAAGAGCGUGUAGGCGGUUCGGUAAGUCGGCUGUGAAAGUCCAGGGCUCAACCCUGGGAUGCCGGUCGAUACUGCCGGACUAGAGUUCGGAAGAGGCGAGUGGAAUUCCCGGUGUAGCGGUGAAAUGCGUAGAUAUCGAGAGGAACACCUGAGGUGAAGACGGGUUGCUGGGCCAACACUGACGCUGAGGCGCGAAAGCCAGGGGAGCAAACGGG
rnacentral:rRNA from 1 species